UACAGAGGCCUCGAGCGUUAGGCGGAAUCACUGGGCUUAAAGCGUGUGUAGGCGGAUUGGCAAGUACCUUGUGAAAUCCCACAGCUUAACUGUGGAACUGCUCGGUAUACUGCUGAUCUUGAGCCACUCAGGGGCUACCGGAACAAAUGGUGGAGCGGUGAAAUGCGUAGAUAUCAUUUGGAACGCCAAGGGUGAAAACAGGUAGCUGGGGGUGUGCUGACGCUGAGACACGAAAGCCAGGGGAGCAAACGGG
rnacentral:rRNA from 1 species